CAGUCGCCGCGGGAAAACGGAGGGUGCAAGCGUUAAUCGGAAUUACUGGGCGUAAAGCGCACGCAGGCGGUUUGUUAAGUCAGAUGUGAAAUCCCCGGGCUCAACCUGGGAACUGCAUCUGAUACUGGCAAGCUUGAGUCUCGUAGAGGGGGGUAGAAUUCCAGGUGUAGCGGUGAAAUGCGUAGAGAUCUGGAGGAAUACCGGUGGCGAAGGCGGCCCCCUGGACGAAGACUGACGCUCAGGUGCGAAAGCGUGGGGAGCAAACAGGAUUAGAUACCCCAGUAGUCCCUGUCUCUUAUAC
rnacentral:rRNA from 1 species